rnacentral:rRNA from 1 species
GACAGAGGGUGCAAACGUUGCUCGGAAUUACUGGGCGUAAAGCGCGUGUAGGCGGUCACGCAAGUCAGGUGUGAAAGCCCAGGGCUCAACCCUGGAAGUGCACAUGAUACUACGUGGCUGGAGUACUGAAGAGGAGAGCGGAAUUCCCGGUGUAGAGGUGAAAUUCGUAGAUAUCGGGAGGAACACCAGUGGCGAAGGCGGCUCUCUGGGCAGAUACUGACGCUGAGACGCGAAAGCGUGGGUAGCAAACAGGA